UAUUUUUGUUUGGAGAUUGGUUCUUUCUUUACAUAACUGUGUAAGUUUUAAAUACAUCAGAUUCUUUUUUUCUUUUCUUUACUUCAUGGUUAUUAUAAUACUAUGUAGGAAUUUUACACAAGCAAAAAAAUAAAACUUCUGGACAGUCACAUGUGAACUUGUACUUCACAAACAAAAAGUUUUGAAUUCCCUUGAUGUAUAAAUGGUCAUCUCUUUUUACCUACACUAUAUCUAGUAAAGGUUUUUUUAUUAUCAUUAUAAUUUGUUUAAAACUCGUCAUCUUAUCUGAAGAAGGGUCACUACAUGAUCUUCACAUAUUUAGUAAAAAUCAUAGAAUGUGGUCAUUUUGUCAGUGUUCUCUUGUUGACAUGGGUCUUGGAUGAGAGAAAGUAUCUAACUGGAUAUAUUUUGCUUACUUGCUUUACAGUUGCUCACUGAUUAGCCAUACAGAUAUGGAUAGUAACCUCAAAUAACUAAAGGAAUGGCAGAAAAUGUAUUAUAGAAUUAAAAUUGAAACUUUAACUUAACUAAGUUGAAGAGAAAAAGCUGAAUACAGUGCAAAAUGAAGUAAUGUUAAUCUUUAUUCAAAAUAAAACAAGUCAAAUAUAUGAGUGCAUGAAAUUAUUUUGGACAAUGCUUCUACAUGACAAAGAGAUUUGUGAAUUUUCUAUAUAUUGUGUCCUAGACUGAGAGAACUAAUCAUUAUAUACUUAAUGAGUAGUGUCAACUCUCCCUAACCACAUGCAUUACUCAUGACACUUGUCAUCGGAUAGAUACAAAUAUGGAGAAAUUUGUGUCCAGACAUUUCUAAAUGUGACCACAACAUUGAUAGAUGAGGCAGGUACAAGAUGUAAACAAGGUCUCCAAAAACAACUUUUAUAAGAAAGUCCAAAAAUAUCCAGUUGGGACAUUUACCUUAACCAUGUGUAAUUAGCCCAUGAAAUAAGUUCAGUAUUAUCAGUUGUGGCUUGCAAUUAAUAUGAAAAGGAGGCCAGCAAUAUUUUAACCCAAUCCUAUAAAUAUAGUAGAAUUGGAAAAAAGGUACCUUAGGUGUCUUGAUUUAUUUAUACAGGAGUUCAAGUCAUCUGUCUUUUAUUGCUAUAAACACAUUGAUAACCACCAAACAUCAUCAUACCAGACAAUUUUUUUUUUUGCUAUGAUGGGAAUUUAGUCUGAGUUCAGCCCUUUCGAGCCCUUCCCAACUGGGGUGUUCAGGAAUAUCAAUUUCCUUUUGCCCUGCUCAUGUGAUUUGCUUUGAGACUAUGGUAAUAGAGAAUGUUACAAUAUUACUAGUUAAAUUUUUGGUGAAACUAUUAAAAUUUAAUAAUUUUAGGUGGGAUGAAGUGAAGUUGGCAAAGUGAGAACAAUUCACAAUUUGGUGUGAAGGCUUUACUGUCAGACAUCCAGGCUUGGCUGCCAAACAAACAAAUGCCAUCCUUUCAGGGUAGCAGGGAGCUAUAACUCCUAUGCCUUAAAGUUUGCUGUGAGGGGAAAAUGGGGGUAUCCCGCAAAAACCCACUUUCACGGGACAGGUGCCAAAAAAUCUACCUGUCCUGUGCCCAGUCUGUAAAGCAAAUCAUGACUGUUAGUCAUGAAAAGACAAAAACUUGUAAUUAAACCACGAGUGUGGAUGUAUAGCUAAAUGUAGUUUGUUUCUUUGCAAUAAGGGUUGUAUGGUGAUAUUAGUUUAUGGGACACACUUGUGUUUGUGUGGAGAGCAGAAGUUAAUUAAUUUCUGUUUUCUGCUUUGCAAUAAUAGUUUCUGGACGUUGUGGUUAGUAUAUUGUUAAUGAUGGUACACUACUUACUUUGUUUGCAACUUAUCGGGGUAAAACUGGGAAACCUUAGGGCUAUUCUUAGUGCUCUAUUUUGUUGUGCUUGUAACUUUUUAAGGAUUUUGUCUCGCAUGUUUUAUGUUACUUGGCAGCCAUAUUCUAUUAGUGGGUGAAUGAAAGUUUUGGAUGAUUUUAAUGUUGUGUUUGAGGUACAUCCUGUAUGUCUUAUGUAAUCAGUACAUUCACUUAUUGAUCCAUGAAUGUAUUUGAUGUGUGUUACUCAUGUGAAGCAUCUGUCAAAUGUAACACCAAGAAAUUUGAUAUUGUCACACAUUUUUACUUCUGUAUUGCCUAAUUUUAGCUACAUUUUUUGUAUUCUUAAAGUGUUUGCUUAAACUUUUGUAAAAUACAAUUCUUUGUGUUUCAUCAGAUGAAGCAUAACAUGCCAUUUGUAACAUCGAAGGGUGAUUCUGUUUAAAUAUUUCUGAACCCAAUCUGCUGCUAUUAGCAGAUUUCUUGAUAUACUUCAAACAGUGAUGUCAUCGGCUUACUGAGAGAAGUGGGUGUAAGUUAAGUCAGUAAUGAGUAAUAUGUACUGGACUGAGCUAUGCAGAACUUCCACUGUUACAUUAAAACAUCUUGAUAGUGUAUUGCUUAUUGUUACUGAUGCAGUGUGGUUAGUGAAGAAGUUUGAAAUCCAUCUUAUAAUUAUGCUGUUAAUGUUCAUUAAGUGUAACUUGCAUCUUAUGGCAUUGUGUCAAACAAUGUCAAAAGCUUUUUUCACAUCAAGGAAGGCUUCCAUUUUGGCUUGAUUAUUAUUAAAAGAUUUAUAUACAGAUUCUGUGAGAUGAGUUAAAUGAUCUGUUGUUUGUCUCUUCUUAUGGGAUGAGUUUUGUUGGAAAGGAGGUUAUUGCUUUUGCAGAAAUACAGGAGCCUGUUUAUUACCCUUAUAACUAUUUUACCUAGGCAACUGAAUAAACUGAAUGGUCUGAAAUUAUCCAGAUUUGAUCUACUGGAUGGUUUCUUUGGGAUUACUUUAAUUAUAGCUUUUUUUCGAUGUGUCUGGAAAGUAACAUGUUAACAGCAAUAGGUUAAUGAGGUUGUUCAGAUGAGUGAGAAGCUUAUAGGAUUCUUUUUUGAGAAUAUUUCUUAUCCCUUCAUGUCUGGGAACUGAAUGAUUAUAUGUUAACUUUUAAUUCACAUAAAGUUACUUUUCUACUAAGUAUAUAAUUUUGAUCUGAUAGAGUAUUAGUGUUUGUGUUGAUAGCUGGAAAGCAAGGGGUGUAUAGUUCUGGGUUUGUGUUUACAUGAUUGUUCACAAUUUGGUUUGAUUUAUUGAAAUCAGGUGAUUCUAAGUUACUAAAAACUGAUUUGCAAUAUUCAGCUAAUAAGUUUACUUUAUCAGUUCUAGCAGUGGUGUUUUUAUACCUAUUGUAAUGACUUAAUUUUUUUCCAAAAUUCUUUGGAAUUAUUGUUUGAAACAUCCAGACUAUUACAGCCAGUUUGUAUCUUUCAAAAUCUUGACAUGACACUUAAUUUGUGCUUGUAUUUUGUUUAUUUGAGUUUUAAGAUUGGUAUCAUGAGUUUUAAUGAAUUGUCUUGAAAGACAUCUGCAUUCUAUAAUUAGCUCAUAAAUUUCUGGUGUAAGAGUCCAGUGAUGGUUUUCGUGGCUUCUCGAGGCAGUGGGGAUAAUGGUUUUCGUGGCUUUGCUAAUUUCCUCUGUUAUUUGUUCCACGUACUUAUCAAACUGCUGUUUAUUUUCCAUUGUGGUAAUCAUUGGGGGUGGGUGGGUAUCAAUUAAUGCAUUGAAAAUCUACCAGUCCAUUUUUGUGUAAUUGUAUACUGGUGGGAGGUUAUGUGAUGGGAUUGUUCUGCAUGUAUGUAUUGCUUGAGAUUUCUCGGUUUACUGUGAAAUUAUUAGUUUUGGUUAGAAUUGAGGUGGGAACUAUAAGUCUAGCACAUCAUACAAGUUAGUUAUUGAAUGAAAGUGAGUUGAAAUAGAAUCAUUAAUGAUCUGCAUGUUGUUAUUUUCAAUUAGUGAAUGUAUUGUUUUUCCUCCUUUUGUUAUUUGGUAAUUGUUCAGGGCAUUUAGGUCACUUGCUAUAAUGGGUUGGGAAUUUCUAUUCAGGCAUUGUUGUACAAAGUUAACACUUAUAUCUUUGGAUGGUGAACAAUAUACUGCUACUAUAGAAAUAGCUAAUGAAUCAUUUAAAUGGAUAUUACAGAAAAUGCAUUCAUUAAUUGAGGAAGUGAAGUUUUCCUCUAUUAGGAUAAUGUUGGUAAUAUUAUUUUUGAAAAGCAUGAUACUGCUUCUAUUCAUUUGAGUUUAUGGAGCACAGUAGGAUUUAAAACCUGGAAUGCUUCUGAAAUUAUUGUUAGUAUAUCUGCUUUGACCUCACUCUUUAGAUCACUGAUUUCAAUUUUUUUAAUUUUAAUAGCUCCACAACUAUUAACAUGAAGUAUUUUUAGUGUGUCUGUUCCCUGAGGGAUUCAAUUCUCAAUGAGAUGUGGUGUGGCUUGAGUUUUGGAAUGUCAAAGUAUUGUGUGGCAGAGGAGCAGUCUUGUUGUAUGAGUUCCUGUCAUGUUGUGCAUUGUGAGAAUUCAGAGUUCAGUCAAGAACGAGAGUAAGUUUACCGUGUAUUUCUUGUGAUCAUGCCCAGUGCUGGAUGCGAUGUUGUGUCUGUUUUUCAUGCAGCAAUGUUUGCAUAGGUAGUUAUUGUUUGUGAAGAGUGAUGGAUCAUUAGUGUUGUUGAUUUGUGUAUUUGUAAGUAUGUACUUGGAAUAUGGCUGAAUAUUGGAAUGGAUUGUUGGUCUACUGGUGUAGUAUUGUGGUGUGGGGUUUAUCACUGAAGGUGUUUUUAAUAGUAGUGACAAGGGUGGAUAUUGUGCAUUAAGUGGGAGUGUUUGUGUGUUAGUGUUUCUGUUGUUGAGCACGCUGUCUCUGACAAGUUGGAACUUGGGACAUGCUCUGGCAAUUAGAGCAGAUUACGUGAUCUCGAGAGUUAGGGCAGCCUUAUAUCCUGCACACCUAAUGCAUCUGGGAGAAUCUGUGAAACAAGGCUUCAAAUGGAUGAAUUUUUGAUAUUUGAAGCAUUGUAGAAUUCUUUUUGCAGGUGGUUUGGUUGGCUCAAUGUGGUAGUGUUUGAAAGAUAGUGUGCAGCCGUUUUUGAUUAUUGAACUACAUUGAGUGUUUGAGUUGACAAUUACUUUAACUAAUGGUGUUUUGUGUGGUAAGAUGUAAUUCUUUCUAUUUUUUAUAUGUAUAUCCUAAUGCUACCAGUUUAAGUUUUUCAGUAUCUUCUAUGUCUAGUUCUACACCUUUAAUGAUUAAGGCUGGUAUCUGUUGGUUGGUGUAUGUACUGUUUUCAUGCCAUUGAAUGCAGUCUUGGGCCAGUGGGCUGAAAUGUAUGCAUAGUCCUUGGGGUUGUUGCACUUGAUGAUAAGGCCUCCCUUGAGCAAGCGCUGUAUUUUCUUCAGUCUCAUGUUUGUGAAAAUCAUUCAGAACUCACUGGUGAUCUGAGGUUAUUGAAGGGUAUGUGGAAUCCCUUCUUCAAUAACUGCAGGGAUAAUGUAUUGCUUAGUGGUGUUAACGGUUGCAGUGUUUUGUAUUGGUGUUCUAGGAAAAGUGGAUGGUGUGCUGUUUUGUGUGUUUUUGCCAGGGAUUUCUGGUGUGGUUGGUCGUGAUAGUGUCAGAAUCAACAGAAAUUGAACUUACCUGCAAUGUUUUAUUUCUUCUGUGCUUCUUUUUACCUAUUGUGAAUCUGUCCUGUUCUGUGAUUUGUUAAAAGAUGGUACUAGUGUACUAUCCAUUGAGUCCCAGUCCAAAUUGCUAAGUUGUUAAGUAUUGCAUUCAUUUUGGCCUUAGAUAGAAUGGCGUAAACUUCAUCCUUCAUGAGAGUCGGGUUUGCAAAUUGGGUAGUCACACUGGUUAUUGAUGAUUCAUUGGUCUUAGUAGCCAUCUUCAUUUUCGGCCCUGAAAAGGACUGGAGUAGAAUCCCUCUAGAAAAAACAAAAAUAAAGAAAUUAGAAUUUCAAGAUCUCGAUUUGAGCAUUUCCUACUUGUUCGAUUUCCUAUCUCUCUGCAGUAUCUGCCUCACUUGAUAAGGCCUAACUAUAACUUGAAAUGUAAAACUCUGAAAUAACCUGCAAGUCAAGAUUAAUCAUCAUACUUUUUAAAUAAGUCACUUCAUUUAAUGAAAUUCACUGUUAAUUGUUUGUAUACUUAAAAACACUGAAUGAUCAUGUAAUCAUUACAUUUGUACCAACCCUUGAUAACCAUGACUUUGUGAGGCUUGCAUGCUCCUGUUGUUGUAAACUUUUCUUGAAAUGAUUUUCAGUGGUUGUUUUUAAACCUACAUUCUGAUUGGGUCCACAUGAGAUGUCACCUUAAUGAAUGGCAUAGAUCAGGACAAGAAGAUUUUUGAGUGUUUGCUACAAAGAUAUGAAAAUUUUGAUGCUUAGAACAAAAUAUAGAUUUUAAUGUAAAAAAAGAUAUAGAAUAUUUUAUUUGUUGAGAACCUUUGAAGAGACAUGGCCUUCUUUUCCUACUCUGCAGGUCACUACUGAGUGCUAUACAGGAUGGAUUUCCUAUAUACAUGCUCUGUAAAUAUGUAUGAAAAUAUUAAGAUAGACUAAUGUUUCCCUUUCAAAGUUAUUAAAGCAAGAAAACAUACUUUCUCAAGUACCACACAGUACCAUAAUUGACUUCUGUUCCAACAGAAAAUGAAAAUGUGCAGAUUGAUUUUCAAAGUUAAGUAUGAUGCUGAUUGCUAUUCACACUUUUAUUGUAAAUCUGUUUUUCUGAAACAAGUUUUAGCACAGAAUUAGUGUUUCAAUGUAGUUUUGUAUAUUUCUAUAUUAUAUAAUGUACAGUACUGAAAUUUUAUAAUGACCUAAAAAUUGAAAGAUAAAUGCUCAACAGAAAGUAUGUGUUAAUUUUAUUUAUUUUGUAAAGAAAUGAAUUGGCACUGAAUAAUAUGUACUCCAACUGACAGUUUUAUAUUGAAAACUGAUAAUUUCUUAAAUUAAAAUGAGAAACUAGAAAUCCCCCCCCCCCCAAAAAAGUCAGAGUAUUUAUGACAUAUGAAUGUUAGUCAACAACUAAUGUUUGUUACUGUUUUUAUUGAGAAAUUUGGUAUCUUAUAUGGCACUUUAGGCUAAAAGAUGAUGAAUGUGUUAUGGUAAUAUCAUCAUGAGCACACUGGAGUAGGUGGAAGAUUGUUAGAUAUGAAUGAUUAUAUCUUUGCUUCAAAGUAUAUUGAUACCAAGGCUGUACCUAUGGUAUACAAAUUGAUUAUAUCAGUGACUUAAAAAGAAAUGUUACAUUUUAAGUGGUGCAUAAUCACAACAUAGUUUGAACACCCAGUUACUAAAACAGUCAAAUAUAUAUCUGAGGUGAUGAAUUAUUAACUAAAAUAGUACAUAUGAAAAGAUUUUCUUGUACUUGUUUGGUCACUAGAUUCAAUGGUACUUUUCUCAACACGUGAUUAUUGUACUUUAAUAUAGGAAAUAUAUGAGUUGCACAUUUACUCUUUAAACAUCAGCUUCCCUCCCUUUUUUUUCUGUUAUAUUAGAUUUAUUAGAUAUGUAAUUACACCUUUAUAUAAGAGCUUGUCUAUUACAUGACGUUUUUAGUCAUAUUUUCAUCUAUAAAAUUUGGUGACUUGUUGCUCAGGUUUUCAGCACUGAUAACAAAGCAUAAAAAUGUCAUCCUGCUCAUUCUGUUGUGCCUAAACUCAGAGAAAGUUAUUCCAGGGAUAGUGUUAUUCUGCCACCAAGUAUGUGCUUUUUUUAUCUGAAGCAAUUACCAAAAAAAAACUUAAACUGCUGUUGCAUUUGUUCAUUUACAUUGACUGAAGUACAUCUGAUUGCAUUUAAGCCAUUACUUUAAGGUUUUUUUUUUUUUUUGUUGUUUUUUUAAGAAAAGUUUUGAAGUGGUUAAAAGAAACCUUCAUCUUAAGCAGGAGAUGAAAAAAUAAUCAUGGUUUCAGGAUCUUUAGAAUUCCCAUGAACAUAAACUAAUGUAAUGAUAAAUGACUUUUAGGAAAGAAGGAAAAGAAGACUUAUUUAAGGUCUUGACCUAUUUUACAUUUUGAAGUAAUACAUAUCAGUUAUGUAAAUCUUAUGAUCAUAUCUUUGUAUUUAUGACUCAAAGAAAAGUAAAUUGGUUUGAAGUAAGUUGCCUCCUGUGGCUCAGUGGUAAGUGUGAGGGCCUAUAACUGAGUUUUGAUACUUGCAUUGGGCACACCACAGAUAGCCAGCCCAUUUGUGUAACUUUGUGCUUAAUAACAAACAAACAAACACAUUUAAGUAAGCCAUACAGAUACAUUAUUUCAAAUAAUACCAUGAAAUAAUACGAGUUGCCAUACGUUAAUUGCACCUUCUGAUCCCGUAAGGGUCUUGUCUCUAAGGCACUAGGACAAUCUGCUUAUGAAGCUUGAUUAGUCCAUCCCCAUCUGUUUUAUAGGAAAAACAAAUAAAUUUACAGAUAGCACUAAAGAUUCUACAUAUAAACUGAACAAAGUCAAGGUUAGUCAAAUUGUUUCUUUUACUCAUAAGAUUGAUUCCUAUAAAAAUAUUAAGCAAUGUUUUGACUUGCAUACUUAUUGUCACCUGCCAAGUAGAAUUAAUGGGCAACAGCCUCAUGUAGCUAAGAUAGGUGGGAUGUACUAUAGGAAAUAGCUUUUAUUAGAAGUUAAUAAGUAGUUGUUUUUCUCAACUGUGUUAAUUUUAAUUUUUCUAUGAUACUAUUACACUAAAAUAAGUCAACCGCAAUGGUUAGUUCUAUAACAAAACAGUUUACAUUUAUUUCCAUGACUGGAGUAAAAACAUUGUGAUCAGAUCUCAAAGUGACACUAAGAUUUUAUGCUUUUAAGUACUUACUCCAUUUAGAAUUUAAAAAAUAGCAUUUCUAUUCUUUAAUAUACAAAUAUCAUCCAAGGAUUUCUGUUUUUUUCAACUUGUUAGACCUUUCUUUUCGUAAACAAUUUUUUUUUGAUGUGGUAAUAUUUUAUAUUGCUUUAUGUUUAAAGAUACAUUUCACAAAUAUAAAUCAAAGAACAUUUUCAGUUAUAAUAACUUGUUCACAUUGUUUCUUAAGUAAAUAUUAUUAACAAGCUUUGUAUCUGUAGAUGUGCUCUGUCUGUAAGCCACCUACAUAUGAAGGUUGUUAAGUUGAAGGAAAACAGUCAGUCAAGAAUCCUUAGAUAAAAAGGUGAAAAACUGAUAUCACAGUACGUACUUAUUAACUUUGGUUACAUAAUAGUUUACUAGAGUACAAACAAGCAACAAAAAGUGAAUGAGAAAGUUUUAAAAUUUUGAAGUGAAAAACAAAAAACUUCAUUUUUUAAAAUUAGAAUCUCUUAAAAUGAGUAAAUAAUAAUAAUAACCCAGUCAUAAAAUCAAACAUGUAAUGUUAGAAUUGAUUUCUUUGAAAAAUUAUGUCAGAAUAUUAUUUGAUGAUCAGUCUCUCGUAUAUUAACAAUUAAUUCUGCUUGGUUUUUGAAUGUAACACUUUCAUCACUUGAGGUAAACAGUUUUAGUUUAAGGAGGUAUGAUGUGAGAACAAACUGAUCAUAUUUUUUCAAGUCAUUUGCCACUUACAAUCUGUUAAUUACUAACUAGAAAAUAGUAACUAUAGUUUUGUAAGCUAUAUAAGCACACUUAGCAAAAUAAUAUGUAAACAAUUUUUAGGUAAUUUAAAAAUAUAUUCCUGUAGGUUUUAUACCAUUAAGGAGGAAGUACAUGUUAAAGAGUAGGCUUCUGUAUACCUUAUUGGAGGUGACUAUGCCUAAGAAUCCAUGUGAAAACAUCAUUAAAGUUAUUGUAAUAGAUAAUUUGGUGAUAGCAAACACCAAUGUACUAUAAGAAUAAAGGUAAUUUAAUUUAAGGUAACCAGUAAAAUAUUAAUCUUUGCUUUUCAUCUUUGUUAUGUGAUAAACAGAAUUUUUGUCAUUGUAAAUCCUCUUAGAUAUAAUCAUAUCUUUAUUGGUAUUUUUACUCUUGUAGUUUAAACAUAAUUUUCUAAUAAGUGAUCUUUGAGCUUUUGCUGAUCAGUGUCUUGGUUACAUUUAAUACGUUUAUUGAAAAUGUAUUCAACUCUUUCAAAAGGUACUGAAAAAAAAAAUGUCUCCACAGACACAAACUGUAGAUAAAAUGUAACUUACCAAUUAUUAUGGUGUGACUCCUUUUCUAAGCUGCCAAAGCAUGAUUAUAAUUAAUUAUACUUGUCAUAAGACAUUAGUGUUAGGCCUAUUAUAUUUUGCAGUAAGCUAUUAUUCUCAAAACUACAUUCACAUUCCAGUUUACUAAAAAUUGGAGUUCAGUGCAAAAUUUAUUUGAUGUGUAAUGGUUUGUCUUUUAUUUUGGAUGAUGAGCUAUUUUGUGUCUAAAACACCUGGCAUUUUACUAUUAACCCAUUGACUGCAGCUUCUCUAAUUAAAAUGUGCAUAGCAUUUUUUGCAAACAAUACACCAUAUAUGACACACUCACAUUCAACUGUUGGAGGUGGGUCGUACCCUAUAUGGAGAAUCAGCAGUCAAUGGUUUAAAUGUGUGCAUUGUAGUUUUCUUGUUGGCGUGUUUCACAACUUUCUGAAUUGUAUACAGCUUACACUAUCACUUAUAAAGAAAAGUGAGCAUUCUGAAGAUCAGAAGCUAAUGAAUAUUAUGGAACUAUAUGAACAAUGGAGAAUGCUUUGUAAUGAACCUUGUUUCUUAAGUGUUAUAUUUAUCUAGUGUCUUUUUGAAUUUGGUUGUUGUUAGAUCAUUAUAAAAUAGGAUUUAGUGUUUUAAUGAAGUUAAACAUUUUAAAUUUUUAAAGUACUGUGGGCUUUUUUCCUUUUACACUGGAGAUACAUUUCUUGCAUGUGUGCAUGUUUUUUUAUGAAAUUGAAAAUAUUCUAAAACACCAUACUUUAUUAAAACAAUGAUGGAGAUUUUUUUCAAUUGAAUAUUAAGUGUCCUUAUGUAUUUGACUCAAAAGAAAUAUCAUUUAUUAAUAUUAGAAAAGAAUGUAAAGCUUUCAUAUAAUUAAAAAACAUGUAUGGUGGCAUUCAGUAUAAUUUACUGAUUAUGUUGUAGAAUUUAACAUCCAUUUUAAGUUUUGUUGGGUUUUAGAAUAACAUGUAUAUAUGCUCAUGUGUGUUUUUUAUAUUACAAAAAAAAUUAUGUUGAAUUCACAUGGUGUAAUUUAAUGGGUAUUUGUAUAAUAUUAAUAAAUUUCAAAUACUUUUAAUUUUAUAAUAUUUUUAUGGGAAUCAAAAUAAGUAUGGGAAAGGUCAUUGUUAUUAGAAAAGUUUUACUAUUUUUUUAUGUUUCCUUAAGUUUUGGGCUUAAAGCCCUGUUAAAACAGUAAUGAUUUUGUUGUACUUGUUCUUAAAACUGUAGUUUAUUAAACAUGAAUUAACUGCUUAAAGUAAUUGUUUGUUGGGCUUAGUCUUGUUGUAUUCUAUGUUUAUUGUUCUAUAGUAUGGUUAAUUUUUCUUACCUGAUUGAAGAAAAGUAAAGACAAACUUAAUUUUCUUGCAUUGAUGGUAAAAUAGGAAAUAAAAGUUUCCAUAAAAAGUUUAAUUACAAACAAUUCUUUCUGACAAAACAAGAUACAAUUUUUGAAAUUUGAAAAAAGGAGAAUAUCUUGGUAGGAGUGUAACCGUCCUUGAAAUAAAUCCUGUUCAUAUUAGCUGAUUAUGUGGUUGUACAUGAAAAUCAAUAAAUUCCUAUGAAACAUACUUACUGUUUUA